rnacentral:rRNA from 1 species
GACGAAGGGGGCUAGCGUUGUUCGGAAUUACUGGGCGUAAAGCGCGUGUAGGCGGUUGUUCAAGUCAGGUGUGAAAGCCUUGAGCUCAACUCAAGAAAUGCACUUGAUACUGGAUGACUAGAGGACCGGAGAGGAUAGUGGAAUUCCCAGUGUAGUGGUGAAAUACGUAGAGAUUGGGAAGAACACCAGUGGCGAAGGCGGCUAUCUGGACGGUUUCUGACGCUAAGACGCGAGAGCGUGGGGAGCAAACAGG